UUUAAGUUCCCUAUAACAUGACAUAUCUUCUUUUACUUAUCCAUAUUUCUUCUCUCUCUUGUUGAAGCUAAGCACAAAAACAACAAUGGCUCCGGCUUCUAAUUUUCACUGCAUCUCUAAGUCUGUGUGUGUCAUGGAUGCCUCGACUCGUCUCGGCUCGAGCUUAGUCAAGCGGCUACUCACAAAUGGCUACACGGUUCAUGCUGCUAUUCAAAAUAUUCACGAUGGUGAUCAUGAUGAACUCUUGGAAUUAAGUGAUGGAUUGGAUGCAUGUGACAUGAAGAGACUUAAGAAUUUUCAUCUAGACCCUUUUGAUUAUCAUAGUAUUGUUGAUGCUCUAAAGGGAUGUUCUGGCUUGUUUUACUCCUUUGAACUUCCAAAGGACCAGUCAAGCACUUAUGAUGAAUAUAUUGGAGAAGUGGAGGUGAGGGCAGCACAUAAUGUACUGGAAGCAUGUGCACAAACAGACACUAUUGAAAAAGUUGUGUUCACUUCCUCAGCAACUGCAAUUAUUUGGGGACAUCAUGAAAAUGAUCAAAACUCUGCAUCCAUGGUUCUUGAUGAAAGACAUUGGAGUGACAUCAACUUUUGUCGUAAAUAUAAGCUAUGGCAUGCAUUGUCAAAAACACUAGCAGAGAAGACAGCUUGGGCAUUGGCUAUGGACAGAGGAGUCAACAUGGUAUCAGUCAACGCAGGACUGUUGAUGGGUCCUGAUCUAACGGUCACAAAUCCAUAUCUUAAAGGUGCUGCUGAGAUGUACGAAGAUGGAGUGUUUGUGACCGUUGAUCUAGAUUUCUUGGUGGAGGCCCACAUUUGUAUCUACGAAGAAAUUUCAACUUAUGGACGCUAUUUGUGCUUUAAUCACAUCAUUAACCAAACUGAAGAUGCUGUUAAACUUGCCAACAUGUUAUCCCCUUUGCUUUCUUCACUUCAAAGUUGGGAGAGUGAUACAAGGAUAAUUCAAGAAAGGAUAAGCAACAAGAAGUUGAACAAACUUAUGGUUGAAUGCCAGCCACAGACAAAUGGCAAAUCAAGAGGAAUGCUUAUGAAAGUGUCAACAUAAUAUCCUUUUGAUUGGGCAUUAUGAAUUGAUUAGUAACCUCCAUAUAUUCUAGAAAUUAUUGUCCAAGGUUAUUAAAUUCGACAACAAUAUUCCACCCAAACAAAAGAAAAUAUACUAAAGAAGGAAUUAAUUAUAUAUUAAGCUCAAAAAUGGCUUAAUAUAUAUAUGGCAUGUAAUUAUGUUGAUGUGCAAAGUCAACAUUAGUAAAGCAAUAAUUUAAGAGCCCCAUAUGACUUUUAGGGGAUAAUAUUUUUGCAACUUGUA